UGGUUUAAUUCGACGCAACGCGAAGAACCUUACCUGGAUUUGACAUCCUCUGACCGUUCCGGAAACGGAAUUUUCCGACUUGUCGGAACAGAGUGACAGGUGCUGCAUGGCUGUCGUCAGCUCGUGUCGUGAGAUGUUGGGUUAAGCCCGCAACGAGCGCAACCCCUGUCUUUAGUUGCCAGUAUUCAGUUAGGCACUCUAAAGAUACUGGCCUCGGUUAACGGGGAGGAAGGUGGGGACGACGUCAAGUCCUCAUGGCCGUUUAUAUCCAGGGCUACACACGUGCUACAAUGGGUCGUACAAAGGGUCGCCACUCCGCGAGGAGGAGCUAAUCCCAAAAAGCGGCUCUCAGUUCGGAUCGGAGUCUGCAACUCGACUCCGUGAAGUUGGAAUCGCUAGUAACCGUGGAUCAGCAUGCCACGGUGAAUACGUUCCCGGGCCUU
rnacentral:rRNA from 1 species